AGUACGUGUUCAUGAAAUGCGACAAGGUGUUGAUAGCAAGGUUUCAAAAGUCGAGAUGGGCCGCUCGAUGUGGUCCGGUCGUAAUUAUCUACGCAACAGUGACUGGAUGUAAUAGUUUUUAUGUUUCCAAAACAAAUUUGUUGGAGUUCAUAUGGCUCCUUGCAAAAAGCCUCGUUGACCUCAAUCAACAUUCAAAGCUUUUGAAAUGUUAAACACAGGUGAACUACUCGGACCAAAAAGUAAGGGGUAGCGAAUUUGUUGUACCAGUUAAACUAUUAAUAUGUUCUAAAUAUCGAGCUAAACUUUUGCUUAUCUGGACGUAUUUUAAAUUCUGUAGAAAAUUUGAAGUGCCAACAAUGGCUCCGUAGCAAUUUUUAUUUUAGCCAAUUUUAUUCUGAAUAAUAAAUACACCUAAAACUAUUUUUUGUUUACAAAAUACUAUUUUUAUCAUGUUAACUAUUCC
rnacentral:lncRNA from 1 species